CCUUUUCUAAGAGCUCCCAGUAUCCAGUAUAAUCUCCCCUUUGUCCCACUGGUCCACCCCAGAAUGUGGGUCACUUUCCCUGGGAUCAAGGGAUCCAUCCCAACUGACAGCAGGAGGGGAGAGGAUAAAACCUUGGGGCCAAAGCCCCAAGGCCACAUAUCUGGUAAGGUGGCUAAAGGCCUGCAAGGCAGAUGUACCCCACAGCUGGGGCCCCCAUAACACUCGCUCAGCAUUCCACAUCCCAUCACAGCCCCCUUCCAAGCCACAUGGCCUGAUGUGUCAGUUUGACAAACCGAGGUCUACAAUGAAACCCACAAGCUAUUGUCAAAUACCUUCUUGCU
rnacentral:lncRNA from 1 species